CGAUCAAAUUAUUAUUAUUAUUAUUUUUGGGUUGUUUUCCUUCUUGCCCCACUCCCUAUUACUGAUGUAAUAAGUUAUUACCACUUAAUAUGCCAUCCUAAUUAAUAGUAUUGUUCAUGUACUCAAAAUGGAUUUGGAUGAACUAUUUGUUCCGUUUUAUUACACUAAUAUAUAGUAUAAGAUGCCAUUAUUAUAUCAAACAUAUAUUUGCAACAAAAAAAAAUAAUAAAAGGGAAUGUGAAGGCCAUAUGCGGCCAAAAGUAAUCCACAGCCAAGAACCGGCUGAUCAAAACCCUACCCUCAUUCUACAUUUUAACAAAACCCUAAUGACACCCAUUUUUCAUCAGCCGUUUUCUACAUAUCCAACUUUUCCCUCUCAAAUUUCUCUAACCUUCUCCAAACCACAUACACAUCCCUUCCCCCCUAAUUCUUGAAAUCCCUGCAUAUACUCAUCAGUACAUUUAAGAACCAUACCACAAUUUCAAACUCUUAGCAUCUUGUUCUCUUUGGUUGAACCAACCGGCCACCACAAGCGGCGGCGCUGUGGUGGUGGCGUCGGGAGGUUAUCACGAGCGAGAAAGGAAGACAAGAGAGAGAGAGAAGUCGGAAGCACUCUCCGGCUACGUCUACGGCGGUGGACGACGGUGGCAGCAGUGGUGGUUCGCGGCUCGGGUUAUUUCGGUUCAGUCCGCACCGGUCCAACUGGUUCAGGUUAUGUUCGUGUUCAGUUCCGUUUUUCGAUAGCCGACGACGGCGAUGACAUUGGGUUGGCUCGGGUCUGCUCAAGGGUUUGGUUCGAGCUCAGCUUAGUUUCAAGUCAGCCUCGGGUCUCGGUUCCGUUUCAGUCGGGUUUGGGUCACUCGGUUCAAGUUCGGGUUCAUGCUCAUCUUCGAUCAACUGUUGGUCAACACCAGAUUCGCAUCGGGUUCGAGUCGACAUCAGUCAACAGCAGUUGGUUCGGUUUCGGCUCGAGUCAAAUCUGGUCAAACACGAUGCUUGGGUGACUUCAGUGUUCCAUCCUCCUAAUCUCAUGCACUCGUCAACACUUGGAUAAUCGGAAGACUUAGCAAUUCCGUUGAUGAUGGCGAUGCUAUUAAAAGAAGUAGCGUUGAUGCCUAGAUACACAUAUAG